UCUUGUUCCUGCCAACCCGAAGAGAAAGUAAUAAAUGGCGCUGUUGAAGUUGACUUUGAAUUUAUAGAAAUUGAAUGGAAAUGAACUAAACGACUCUUGGGAGGCUUUCUAACACAAUACAUAUUCUGGGCAUAGCGCGUUGUUGCUUCACUGAAGAAAAAAAACAUGGCCUACAAGAAUUGGAAGAACUUUUUGAUUGCUUUAACGAUUCUCAAGGUUCUUGUCGUGCUUCUCGUCAUAACCUCAGAAUUUUUUGCAAGCAAAUUUCGAUGGACUUUCAAACCUUCAAUCACUCGUGAACACGUACGGAAUAAGCUUAUGCAGUUUCACUGGUAGGACUCAAGUAACACGUACGGCAUAUUUUGUGUUAAACAAGCGCCAUCAUAUUUGUUGACUGAAAAUUUUAAUAUUAUCUUGAACUUAUAAAUAAAUAAGAGUGAGGAUCCUUCCUCUGUUCUGAGGAUUUCUAUCCUGUGCAGAUGGUUUCCAGCAUUUAGAAAUCAUCAUCCAAUUUUUCGUCUGAAAAAUCUAUAUACAUAAAAGUUUUUCUUGCA